AAUUCACAUACAAAUGGAAAAGAAGUGUAGAUAAGUUACCUAUUUAAAAAAAAAAUGGAAAAAACGUAUAGAUAUUAGCGAACAAAUUGUAGUAAUCUACGAAAAACUCAAACAGUACAUUUCUUCCAAAAAGAAAAAGAGCUUUCAGUAGGAAACCAAAAUCCAUUAAACGUCAAAUUCAACUCUCCAGAAACACCAGAAUUGAGUUGUUUAGGGCAUUCUCUCGAGCACCUCGGGCAGCAACAAAGCUCGUCUGUUUAUUCACUAUUUUUUAUCUAGAUGGAAUCCUAUAUGUGUCCAGAGCGUGUUUACACUGAUGCAGGAAAUUUUGAACCAUGCAUGUGCUAAUCAGAUAUGAACAAUCCAAG
rnacentral:misc_RNA from 1 species